GCUAGGAAAGGAGCUCAGUGCAAAGGCCCUGGGUUCAACACCCCAGUACCACAAAAACAGAAAACAGAAGAAAAUAGGUCUGUGUGAAUACAAGUAGGAAUAGCAGUUGCCUCCAGGGAUGAGAUUGACUGGGAGGUGCUCGGGGAAACAUCCAGGGGGCUGGAAGUGUUCCAUGUUGGAUACUGGUAGUGGGCAUGUGGUGUCCACAUAGGAAAAAUCCAAUACGCCGUGUCCUUAAGAUGUGUGCAAUUUGACGCACCAAAUCUGACCCCUCAGUAAAAAGUAAAAGUUAAAAAUGGGGUGCCCAGGAAGUUCACAGCUAGAAGCCCCUGGAUGGAAUUCUCUGAGGACAUCUGCAGCUCAGGUAAGGGCUCCCUAGGGCAGGGAAGGCUCAGUCCCUGGGACACAUUAUACAGCAUCUUGCAAGGGAUAUGGGAGGAGAUCCACGCACGCGCGCGCGCACACACACACCCCUUCCCCGUUCCCACCUUGCUCACAGGGGCAGGCUUUACUGGGCAUGGACUCUGGGCCCCACCAGGCUGGGCCUGAGGCUGCAGGGUCCCCCUGGCCCACCGAAAGUAGUGGCAUGGUGGCAGAUAUCUGAAGACAAGGGCCUUCCUCUUCCCUCCCUCUCCACACCCCUGGUGGCAGCAGGGCCUGGGAUCCUUCCCACGGCUGACUUCUCAUGACAUUUGUCGAUGGCCGUUGUCCAGCCCGGGGCUGCCCCCUGGCUGAGGUGGAUCUUCUGAUGGAAAGAGAGGUGGGCAAGAGCCAGCAGCAGUCUUCUUCCCCAUGAAAGAGCGAGUGCAAUGGUUUUUUUCUCAAAACAAAAACUCACUUGAAAAGGAAAAGCUGCUUUUUAUGCCAUGUUGAGAAGUGGCACGUAUGCUCCAAGCAUCGUUGGGGUAUAUGGCAUGUUGCCAUUUCACAGGCAAGAAAACUGAGACUCUGAGGCAUCAGGCAAAACCCCAAGUCAUGCAAGGUACUCGGUAGCAGGGCAGGGGCUCCCUGAGGACAGGUCAUGUCCCCACCUGAGGGUGAGGGACUCUGGGUGCCUGAAGGAGGGGCUGACCUAGUGUUUGCUUUCCUACCGUCCCAUUGUUUUCCAGCCAGCCUGGCCACCCUGUCUCCUUUCCUGUCUGGCUGUCCCCCGGGGGCUGAGCCCAGGGCCCCCCUCCAGGUGUGCCACAAUUUGGGACCAUUGUCUGGGGGCAGGGAGGAUGGCAGGGAGGGUGAAGAUCAAAGAAAGCUUGUCCCUGGGUGGCCAUGCUGGAGUUGAGGGGAAGCCCUGCCCUCUUUUGCCUUUCCUGGUUGGACCACCGGGGUGUCAGUGUCAGCCAGCUGAACCAUGCCAGGGCCACCCCGAGUAGGAGAUGUCCGGACCCUGCCCCUUCUCAGGAGGACCGGCAGGAGGGGCUGCACCUGAGGGUGGACAGAGGGGCUGGGAGCAGGGUGACCCGGACCAGGUGUUCCUGCCCUGCCCAUGCCUCCCUAGCAGGAGCUGGGUCAUAUGACAGGGCCAAGGUGGCAGGUGUAAUAAGCCACAGCCCCAGGACAAUAUUAAAUUCUGUGUCCCUCACCCCUCCCUGCCCCAGGACUUUCCCUCCUCUCCCAGGGACUUGGCACUGGAGGCUAAGAAGGGUCCUUUGUCUGUCUCCAGCCCUAUGUCCCCAGAAAGGUAAGGGCUAGGGUGGGGGCUGGUACCCCUAGGGCUUUACCACACUUACACCCAUGGCCCCAGCUGCCAGCACAACACCUUGACCUUGGGUCCCCAGAGUCCACCACCCCCUCACAGCCCGACCUGGAGCUCCGGUUUGCACACUCAGCCAUGCACAAGGUGGGAGUCCAAGCAGGCACACACACGCGCCACCCAGCCUGUGGCCCUGUCUUCUAAACCCCAAGCUGUGGCUGAAGUAGAGUCCACGCUGGGGCUUCAGGGGUGGGAUUGUUCUGGGGUGCAGGGUAUUUGCUUCCCCUACCUAGCUCCAGGGCACAGCCCCAUGUCCCC
ensembl:lncRNA